rnacentral:lncRNA from 1 species
CCGACCAGUGGGAAAUUUCAACUUCAAAUGGUAGGUUGACACGAUGGCUCGGAGAGCAUUGAGAUCAGGUCGGCCGAGGAUUGCAUUGUAGGCUGACGGCGCCUUCACCACCAAAAAAUUCACCAGAGCCCUGGAUUGCCUUGGAUACUGACCUGCGAUCACAAUCAGAGUUAUCAUUCCUUCUGUCGGAACAGCAUCGUCGGUAAACCCUACCAGAGGAGUGCUAAUCGGUCUCAAAUGGC